GGACCAAGGAGUCUAGCAUGUGCGCGAGUCAUUGGGACAUUACUAAACCUAAAGGCGUAAUGAAAGUAAAGAUUCGUCUUGCACGAAUCGAGGGAGGAUGAGCGGUUUGCCCUCAAAGUGGCCGCUCCGCACUCCCGGGGCGUCUCGUUCUCAUUGCGAGAAGAGGCGCACCAAGAGCGUACACGCUGGGACCCGAAAGAUGGUGAACUAUGCCUGGUCAGGACGAAGUCAGGGGAAACCCUGAUGGAGGUCCGUAGCGAUUCUGACGUGCAAAUCGAUCGUCGGAACUGGGUAUAGGGGCGAAAGACUAAUCGAACCAUCUAGUAGCUGGUUCCCUCCGAAGUUUCCCUCAGGAUAGCUGGCGCUCGUUGCAUACGAGUUUCAUCCGGUAAAGCGAAUGAUUAGAGGCAUUGGGGUCGAAAUGAUUUCAACCUAUUCUCAAACUUUAAAUGGGUGAGAUCUCCGGCUUGCUCGAACUUAUGAAGCCGCGAGUGAAUUUUCGAAUCAGAGUGCCAAGUGGGCCAUUUUUGGUAAGCAGAACUGGCGCUGUGGGAUGAACCAAACGCCGAGUUAAAGCGCCUAAAUCGACGCUUAUGGGAUACCAUGAAAGGCGUUGGUAACUUAAGACAGCAGGACGGUGGCCAUGGAAGUCGGAAU
rnacentral:rRNA from 1 species